AUUGUUUCUAGUGUUUCCGGACAAUUUCAAGUUGAAAAAGACCUUAUAAACGAAUUAAUUUGAAUUUAACUUAUCACCUGGCGAUAUUGCGUGUCUCAAUUUUUUUAAUGUCGUUUUCAAUAAACGACAAUAGCAGUUCUUUUGUCAACAAAGUGAAGGAUCCGAUGUCAGAUCUAUUUUUCUCUCCAGGUUAAAAUCCAAUUCCUUUUUUCUUCUGCUUGGAAUUUUUUAAAGCGUCCUCACAAAUGUCUUAGACAUUUAACAACAUUUUAUCAUCGGAUCGGAGAUGAGAACAACAAAUAAAAAAUAAGUGUCAAAAACACGCAACCGAAAAACAUCACAGUGUAAUAAUGCGAGAUUGACGGGAUGAGUGUUCAAAAGAAAAUAUGCGAAACAUGCAGCAUACAGAAAGUCUAAUUGUAAAAACACCCUUUUCAUUGGCACGAUUGGAUUUAUAUUUUUCAUUUCGAGAAUUAUAUUGAUUUUAGAUAUUAUAGUCUUUUCAGACCGAACCCAAAACCAAGUUUUCGGCAAAAUGUUUUCGAAAACCCUAAAAUAAGUCACACUGAGCACGUUUUCGUUUGGCAUUUCAAUUUUUACAACAUCGACUGUCAAAUAUUGUAUUGAUCCAAAAUUCAAUGAGCAGCAGAUUUUGCAUAUAAUUUUUCUGCAAUGAACUAAAGGACCUGGAAAUUCAAGCUACAAACCUUGGAGGUGUGUACCAUUAUCUCUGGAAAAAAAGUUUUCCUAAACACGGGAUCGGAAAUAAUUAAUUUUAACUAUGUUUUCUUUAUAGUACGUUUCCACCAAAAAAUAAUCCUAGAUUUAAGACAAAUGAUUUAAAAUAAAUCAUCAGGUAUUUCCACCAAAGAAAAGGAGAUUAAUUUGACGUUGUCAUAACAACCAAAC